UGGCGGGGAGGGGGCAGAGACGCCCCUUGGGAGGCCUGGCUGUCUGGGCCCUCAGGCCCCGGGGGCCCGCAGCAGAGCCCCACCUCCCUGGCUGGCGUGCAGAGGUGGUCCAGGCCCUACCCCCAGGCACAGGCUGGUGUCCUCCUAACACAGUUGCAGAAGGAGUCAGCCAGCCAUGGCGUGAAGAAGAGAGAAAAAACGUUCAACUAUGCCGGUCUUUGCAGUUGAUUUCCUGUGGCUCUAAAACAAAGGCACGCCAGGCUGGCUGUUCCGUGGCCGGGCAAGGGGUGGCUCACCUUCCACCAGGUGGAGGGCGCCGUCCACGGCUUGCAGUGCUGUCCAAAUGGUGACCGUGUUACUGUGGAGGGUUGGAUUCCUGUCCCUGGAACCCAAACACCUGUGGGUUGCUGCCCCACCCCCACACUUCCCGCUCCCCUCUGCAGUGGCCUUGGGCCACUGCUGCUUCCUCGGGAGGAAGCACCUUCCUGCGUGUGGUGGGCGGUUAGUGGAAACACUCGAGGCACCCCUGGGCAGCCACUGAAGACGUGGGAAGAAACUGAGCUGUGCCGCUGGCCACGUCCUGCAGGUCAGCAAAGCCAAACCAUCGCGACUCAGCGGCUUCUGUCCACACCUGUGACCCGGGCGACCAGCCAGCGGGCUCUGCAGGGAGCAGCACUACCUGCCAAUGCUGGACAGCGUCACCGAUGUGCUCAGUAAUAUCCCACUAAAAGAGAUCGUUACCGAGACGCUGAAUCUCUGAGCAACAACCCGCAGGGCUGUGUGUCUGCGAGCACAGCCCUGGGCGACGGGCGGACGUCAUCCAAGGCUCCAGGUCACCCAGGGGUGGUGAGAGAUGACGGCCGGGUCGCGGCCGUGGAGCCUGCAGUGCCAGUGUCUUUGGGACACAGGCUGUCCUCUGCAGUGACGCCAGGUGUGCGACUCGCACCUGUGUAGUGUUUACACCAGCAAGCCCAGCUGUCUUCCCUCAGAGCACGUGGCACCUGCUCUGCCCCCCACACAACACACGGGGAUCCCGCUGGACCAACCCCUGCCCAGGUCCAGCAGCCGCCCUGCGAGCGAGCAGCUUGAAUGUUUUACCCAGGGUCGGUUUUUUUUUUUUAUCAAACAUGGGGUAAUAAAUGAGUAUUUCUUUAUCAAUAAGGUAAUAACUAAGCAAAUUGCGAGAGACAUUACUACAGGGACGCUACCAUAGACUGAGAAAUCCGGCCAGACCUCCGUAGCCGGAAGUGAGUUUAGGACCUGCUGACUUCCUCACACUCCCCGAAGCAGCACGUCCCAUCUGUUCCCCGACAGGGCAGGGGGGCACGCCUGCUGUGUCGUUUUGUGGACAAAGCCCCAGGAGAUCUGAAACGCUCACCCCUCUACCUGAGGCUUGCACGGAGGCAAGGUGCCGGCCUCCAUCCCCACCUGCGGAGCGAGGACACAG